GAUGAACGCUGGCGGCGUGCCUAAUACAUGCAAGUCGAGCGAACAGACGAGGAGCUUGCUCCUCUGACGUUAGCGGCGGGCGGGUGAGUAACACGUGGAUACCCUCCCUAUAUGUCUGAGAUAACUUCGGGAAACCGGCGCUAAUACGGGAGGAUCUAUUGCUCCGCAGGGUUCAAUAGUGAAAGACGGUGUUGCGGUCACUUCUAGCUGCAUCCGGGCCGCAUUAGCUAGUUGUUAAGUUCACGGCUUAUCAAGGCAACUAGGCGUAGGCGACCUGAGGGGCUGAUCGGCCACAUUGGAGCUGAGCCACGGUCCAGACUCCUACGGGAGGCAGCAGUAGGGAAUCGUCCGCAAUGGGCGAAAGCCUGACGGAGCAACGCCGCGUGAGUGAUGAAGGCCUUCGGAGCGUAAAACCCUGUUAUUAGGGAAGAACAAAUGUGGAAGUAACUAUGCCCGUCUUGACGGUACCUAAUCAGAAAGCCACGGCUAACUACGUG
rnacentral:rRNA from 1 species